AGGUCUCGACCCAACCUAUCCAUCUUCCCGCCUUACAUACUAGGUCCGAUCAGCUCCCUACCUCCGCCACUCAACCUGACCACCUUUCAAGUCCAUGUACUGUGACUAACAGUGGAGCAUCAAUUCCAGUUUUGGGCAAGAAACGUGUACGAGGACCGACCCGAGGAAAGAAUGUGGAGAAGAUUAGAAAGGAACGUGGUGAUCGAAUACCCGUUACACUUAACCGUUUGACCAAAGCAAUAGAAGGGGAUUACGCCACACCGCUAGCAGCUGCUCUUGGUCAACAAAUUCGAGUUCAUGCCCCAGUUCGAAAUGAUGGAUGGCUAGAAAUUGCCUUUGGGUUAAGAGAGUCCAUUGUUACAAGAGUUGGGCAAACUUUUGACUUUGGGGACUACAAUAAUGAUGUGGAUGUGAGAUGUAUUAUUGAUCAUAAGUGCCAAACUUUGUACAGUGAAUGGAAAAGUAGAUUACACACACACUACAAAUCCCUUAAA